UUAAAAACUAGCCGUUGCAAUUGCACUACUUUCGUUGAUUUUCUCAAUCCCUAAAUCUAUUUCUUCAGCCUCCUCAUCCGACGAAACGUAAAAACCCCUUUUCGAUCGGAAAGUUCGAAUUUUUCUUUCUUGUCUAUUGGAAUUGGAUAGAAUCCUUACUGGGCUUGGACGUGCAUAGUGAUGGCUUCAAGAACUGCGACCAAAGACAUUAUCACUCUGCGUGGUUCCGCGGCUAUCGUCAGCGAGUUCUUCGGAUAUUCAGCGAACAGUAUUCUGUACAAUCGGGGAGUGUAUCCUGAAGAAAGCUUUGUAAAGGUGAUGAAAUAUGGGCUGCCCAUGUUGCUUACUCAAGAUGAAGGCCUCAAAUCCUUCA